rnacentral:rRNA from 1 species
AUGGUAGAUGAUGAUUGGGCUACACAAAGGCCAUUGAUUCCCAUGUGUACUGAACUUACAGUAAUAGCCGAAGAGGGACAGGUGACUGGAACUGAAACUGAAACUGCAGCAACUGUUGAUUGGAAUGUAGUUGAAUUAGAUGAGCCUACUGAUUUGGUCAUUGCACCAAUGCCUGACACUGAGAUGGCCAAACUUUUUGGCAUUCCAGUCGAUGACAGAGAUAAGCAGGAGAGGGGCGAAUCUAGUUUGCCUGCUAAUGCUGAUGAAGAAGUAGAUGGACAGUUGAUGGAACAAGCUGCGGAUGAAGUAGAUGAUGCACAUGAUGAUGAGCUGGUGCAUGUGUAUGACAAAGAUAACCCUGUCAUUGAAGUAGGCAAGUUGUUCCCAAGCAUGAAGGAGUUUAGGAUGUGUUUCAAGACUUAUGCAGUGAAACAUGAGUUUGAUGCCAAGACUGUUAGGACUGAUAGAAAGAAGUUUUAUGCGAGGUGCAGAGGAUUUGAUGGUAGUGUGAAGCCUUGCAAGUGGUACAUAUCUGCUAGACUGCAACCUGAUGGAAGUACUGUCAGGGUUAACCAAAUCCCCAAUCAACAUACUUGUAUUACAAGUUCACAGAGAGUAUCAACCAUGACAUCACAAAUUUGGGUUGCAGAAAAGAUCACCCCAAUUUUAGCCAAAACACCAAACACUACUGCCAAGAAACUCAAAGUAGACUUGGAAAAGAUGUACCCCAUUAAACUGAAAUAUACCACAGUGUGGAAGGCAAAACAAAGGGCAAUGAAAAAUUUAUAUGGUGAUUGGGCAAAUACAUUUAGGAUGCUUUACAACUUCAAAGCAGAGGUGAAAAAGAGGCCACCUGGCAGUGUUGUGGAGAUAGAUAAAGAGGUAUCAGCCGAAGGUGAAGUCAAGUUCUCCAAGUUUUUUAUGGCUUUGAAGCCUUGCAUCGAUGGGUUCAAAGCAGGGUGCCAUCCAUAUUUGAGCAUAGACUCAUCAUUUUUGACAGGCAAGUGGAAUGGUCAGUUGGCAGCAUGCAAUGCUCUAGAUGGACACAACUGGAUGUUUCCUAUUGCUGUUGGCUUGUUUCAGUCAGAAACAGAGGCUUCAUGGACAUGGUUCAUGAUCCAGUUGAAAAGAUGCCUAGGGCCAGUGUCACCUUUGGCUAUACACACUUUUCAUUUUCAAAACCCCACCUACUCUCGGGUGCCCACUACUCUCUCCCUUGAACUCCAUACUACAUUGUUCGAGGAAUGA